rnacentral:rRNA from 1 species
UACAGAGGUCUCAAGCGUUGUUCGGAUUCAUUGGGCGUAAAAGGUGCGUAGGCGGCGCGGUAAGUCGGGUGUGAAAUCUCGGAGCUUAACUCCGAAACUGCAUUCGAUACUGCCGUGCUUGAGGACUGGAGAGGAGACUGGAAUUUACGGUGUAGCGGUGAAAUGCGUAGAUAUAGUAAGGAAGACCAGUGGCGAAGGCGGGUCUCUGGACAGUUCCUGACGCUGAGGCACGAGGGUCAGGGGAGCAAACGGG